CGCAGCUUACGUAGGGAACCACUUGACCUGAAAACAUGAGAGUGUUCAUAAGCAUGACUAUAUCAAUGGUGGUCGGAUUCUGGGUAUCGGCGUUUAAAGCCGCUACGACUUUCGUGCAUUCUCUCGGUGACGCUAUACAACAUCGUCUCUACAACUCUCCCGCUAAGGCCGUUGUCCCAAGCAGAGGGACAGAAACAUCUUCUGCAAAGGGUAUUCUCGAAAGUGGAAGAAAUGUUGUCGAUUCGGGUGUGGAUUUAGUAUCCGGAAUACUGCGAGCACCAGUGAAAAUUUUGAGAAGAGCCAGGAAUCGCCACACGUAAUUCAGUAGCGCACGGAAUGCAAAGAGUUCGUAAACAAGAAGACAAUGUUUGACUUAAGGCACUUCAGUGGAAGCAAGGCUCAGGUGGCACCGAUAAUUCACGUCAGCCUCGUCGGACAGCCGCAAAAAUUGUUCGUUAAUAUUCCAACACAUCCUCGAUUAUGUCUGAACAUUUACAUAAAAGAGUUUACCAAGAUGGAGCGGACAUCACUUUUGUUCCCUUACUUACCUUAGGAUUCCAGGAAAAAGAUGAGUUCGUCUUAUUCUUGUGUUGUUUUGCUUCACAACUGUUUUGCGUUGUUUAUUUCCGGUAGUUAUCUGCCAUGACAGCCUUGC